UACGUAUGGUGCAAGCGUUAUCCGGAUUUACUGGGUGUAAAGGGAGCGCAGGCGGCGCGGCAAGUCCGGUGUGAAAGCCCGGGGCUCAACCCCGGUACUGCACUGGAAACUGUCGUGCUUGAGUGUCGGAGGGGCAGGCGGAAUUCCUGGUGUAGCGGUGAAAUGCGUAGAUAUCAGGAGGAACACCGGUGGCGAAGGCGGCCUGCUGGACGACAACUGACGCUGAGGCUCGAAAGCGUG
rnacentral:rRNA from 1 species